rnacentral:rRNA from 1 species
GUGGGGAAUCUUGCGCAAUGGGCGAAAGCCUGACGCAGCCAUGCCGCGUGAAUGAUGAAGGUCUUAGGAUUGUAAAAUUCUUUCACCGGGGACGAUAAUGACGGUACCCGGAGAAGAAGCCCCGGCUAACUUCGUGCCAGCAGCCGCGGUAAUACGAAGGGGGCUAGCGUUGCUCGGAAUUACUGGGCGUAAAGGGCGCGUAGGCGGACAGUUUAGUCAGAGGUGAAAGCCCAGGGCUCAACCUUGGAAUUGCCUUUGAUACUGGGUGUCUUGAGUACGGGAGAGGUGAGUGGAACGCCGAGUGUAGAGGUGAAAUUCGUAGAUAUUCGGAAGAACACCAGUGGCGAAGGCGACUCACUGGCCCGUUACUGACGCUGAGGCGCGAAAGCGUGGGGAGCAAACAGGAUUAGAUACCCGGGUAGUCC